UCUUAUGGCCAUGCCACCCUGAGCCCGAUGUCUGAUCUUGGGAGCUAAGCAGGGUCGUGCCUGGUUAGUGCUUGGAUGGGAUUAUUUAUGCCUACAGCACCUAGGAAGACCAGGUGCUGUAGGCA
rnacentral:rRNA from 1 species